UGAGGAAUAUUGGUCAAUGGGCGGAAGCCUGAACCAGCCAAGUAGCGUGGAGGAUGACGGCCCUAGGGGUUGUAAACUCCUUUUGCGGGAGAAUAACCGGCACCACGUGUGGUGUCCUGCAUGUAUCCCGCGAAUAAGCAUCGGCUAACUCCGUGCCAGCAGCCGCGGUAAUACGGAGGAUGCAGGCGUUAUCCGGAUUUAUUGGGUUUAAAGGGAGCGUAGACGGGAGGUUAAGUCAGUUGUGAAACCCCUCGGCUCAACCGUGGGCGUGCAGUUGAUACUGUCCUUCUUGAGUGUGGCAGAGGCAGGCGGAAUUCGUGGUGUAGCGGUGAAAUGCUUAGAUAUCACGAGGAACCCCGAUUGCGAAGGCAGCCUGCCGGGCCGCGACUGACGUUGAUGCUCGAAAGCGCGGGUAUCAAACAGG
rnacentral:rRNA from 1 species